UUACGGCCACGUCACGUUGAAACACCGGAUCCCAUACAAUCCCCGAAGUUGAGCAUCGUCGAGCCUGGUCUGUACCUAGACGGGUGACGCUUGGGAAUAUCAG